CCUUCGAUAGCUCAGUUGGAAGAGCGCAAGACUGUAAUUGGUAUCAAUCCUGGAUUCCAGGGCAUCUUGAGGUCACUGGUUCGAUCCCGGUUCGAAGGA